rnacentral:rRNA from 1 species
UACGUAGGGUGCGAGCGUUGUCCGGAAUUAUUGGGCGUAAAGGGCUCGUAGGCGGUUUGUCGCGUCGUGAGUGAAAACACACAGCUUAACUGUGUGCUUGCUUCCGAUACGGGCAGACUAGAGGUAUGCAGGGGAGAACGGAAUUCCUGGUGUAGCGGUGAAAUGCGUAGAUAUCUGGAGGAACACCGGUGGCGAAGGCGGCAUCCUGGACCGACACUGACGCUGAUGAGCGAAAGCCAGGGGAGCAAACGGG